CUCGUUCACAGUCUGAAAUAUAUUAUAUUCACUUUCAAGCCUAAACAUCAUCGUCAAAGGGCUCCCUGGGGAUUGGGCCCCGGAUGUGGCGUUUGUGGACCGGCUCGUAGUCAAGAUCCCGGAAAACGACCUGCAUCUGGGUGCUCUCACCAGGAAUCAGGAAUCAGGAAUCUCUUCCGACAGAGUUCUGGGCACUAUCGGGGCCGAAGAGGAUACCAUAUCUGCAUAGCACUGCUCCUAUCGUCAUCGCGCUGCAGUCCAUCUGCCGGGGUGCGACCAUCAGGGGCCUCCUUCACCAUCCGGUACUUGAUUAGGAAGUACCGCCUCCCAGCUCCGGAUCCUGCUGAUUGAAGACGCAUUGUUUUGUUCGAGUCUCCUAGGCACGUUGCCUUCGAAAGUAUUGGAAACCCAUGGCAUUGAUGGUCCGACUGUCCAGGCUAAACCAGGUGGCCAGGCAGGAGGUCAUCAUCCACAUGUGGUCCAUUAUCUGGCAACUGAAGAACUGCAACUUGGCCGUCUUGAAGUUGGCAUAUUGCAGUGCUUAGCUCAGCAGCAGGAUAAGCAGGAACAGACUCCUUUUCUGACAAUCCAAGGAGUUUAAUUACACUGCCAUAUAGUUGACAUAGAUGAGAAGAACACCGUAGAUGAACAGGUACGACUGCAAUGUCGCUAUGAUAAGGAUCUGCAAACCCCAGUAGAAGAUGCUCCACAGAUCGCGGAUUGUAAUCUUCGAAGCACUGCCGGUAUAUGGUCGAAGUCAUAUCCAGGGGAAUGGGGUAUAAAAUCAGGAAGGAAAAACACCAGGCGGUCAGUACAGACAGGAACAGGAUGAGCUGGCUUGGGAUGUUGCCAUAGCGAUAGGGCGUGAUGCUGGCCAGGAAGGGGACGGCCACUAUGCCGAAGGUUUUUUCUUUUAUUUAAGUCAUAAAGCUACUUUAACACUACAACAAGGAAAUUAAAUACAAUCUCGGCUGGUUAAUACGUA